rnacentral:rRNA from 1 species
GAUGAACGCUGGCGGCGUGCCUAAUACAUGCAAGUCGAGCGAACGGACGAGAAGCUUGCUUCUCUGAUGUUAGCGGCGGACGGGUGAGUAACACGUGGAUAACCUACCUAUAAGACUGGGAUAACUUCGGGAAACCGGAGCUAAUACCGGAUAAUAUUUUGAACCGCAUGGUUCAAAAGUGAAAGACGGUCUUGCUGUCACUUAUAGAUGGAUCCGCGCUGCAUUAGCUAGUUGGUAAGGUAACGGCUUACCAAGGCAACGAUGCAUAGCCGACCUGAGAGGGUGAUCAGCCACACUGGAACUGAGACACGGUCCAGACUCCUACGGGAGGCAGCAGUAGGGAAUCUUCCGCAAUGGGCGAAAGCCUGACGGAGCAACGCCGCGUGAGUGAUGAAGGUCUUCGGAUCGUAAAACUCUGUUAUUAGGGAAGAACAUAUGUGUAAGUAACUGUGCACAUCUUGACGGUACCUAAUCAGAAAGCCACGGCUAACUAUGUG